rnacentral:lncRNA from 1 species
AUCAGGGUUUGACACCCAAAAGUAAACAGUUUUGAAAAAAUAGGAUCAUUUUAGAAUUCAAAAAAAUUGAUCAUUCACUGAACAAAUAUGAUUUUAGAAAAUAAAUAGACCAUUCAUAUAAAUAAUAUACAAUUUAAGUCUUUCGUUUUGUAUUAUCGUUCUUGUUUCCUUCGAUAAAACUGUCGACAUCAACCAACACGAACUUCGAGUCGGCCAUCUUUGUUUUGACAAGGCGCGAAAUUUAGCGGGACAAAAAACGAUAUCUGGGACAAAAAACGAUAUCCGGGACAAAAAACGAUAUCCGGGACGAUAUCGUUUUAAUGUCCCGCUGCUUCCUACCUGAUAAAGGUACAAGUAUGUGAUAAAUAUAUAUG